GGGUUCUGAUGCCAGAUGGUUCUGGCGCCGGUCUGUAAAACCGGUCCUUCGGGGAAGCGGUUCGAUUCCGACCUGGACCCACCA
rnacentral:tRNA from 1 species